AGUGAUGCUUGCAUGACAAGCGAAGAAUGUAUUGACACCAUUGAGAGGAAGAUCCUACAAAAACCCUGAGCCAGAUGAAAGAUCUGCUUAUACUGACAGUGGCCAGGAUGGAAGGAAGGAGAGAGCCACGUUAAGUCCUCCAGGUUGUGGCAAACUUUCCAGGAGAAGAUGAAGGCAAAAGGACCAAGGCAUGCCAACCACAGACUCAUACCUCAAUACCUCUUUUGCGAAGAAUCCUGUUGGUCUCUUCUAACUCGUGCCUGUGACCAUGUCACCUCAGACAUCACUUCUGAGGCACCUGCUAGCAGUCUAAGGAGAGGACAAGAACACCUUCUCUACCAUAAAGAACAUCUUUCAGGGACACCGUUGAGAAGCUUGCAGUUCUUCAACUCCCUCCCAGAGGUCACAGCCUGAAAAACACUGGACUAAGAACAUACUUUGGUAAUAUUUCAGACAGUUCAAAGGCAAAGGCUGAAAAUGUACCAAGGAAGCCUGGCUUACAAUUAAAAACAAAAACUUCAACCUAUUUUCUUUAGAAAUAAAC